rnacentral:rRNA from 1 species
GACGAACGCUGGCGGCGUGCCUAAUACAUGCAAGUUGAGCGCUGAAGGUUGGUACUUGUACCAACUGGGUGAGCAGCGAACGGGUGAGUAACGCGUGGGGAAUCUGCCUUUGAGCGGGGGACAACAUUUGGAAACGAAUGCUAAUACCGCAUAAAAACUUUAAACACAAGUUUUAAGUUUGAAAGAUGCAAUUGCAUCACUCAAAGAUGAUCCCGCGUUGUAUUAGCUAGUUGGUGAGGUAAAGGCUCACCAAGGCGAUGAUACAUAGCCGACCUGAGAGGGUGAUCGGCCACAUUGGGACUGAGACACGGCCCAAACUCCUACGGGAGGCAGCAGUAGGGAAUCUUCGGCAAUGGACGAAAGUCUGACCGAGCAACGCCGCGUGAGUGAAGAAGGUUUUCGGAUCGUAAAACUCUGUUGGUAGAGAAGAACGUUGGUGAGAGUGGAAAGCUCAUCAAGUGACGGUAACUACCCAGAAAGGGACGGCUAACUACGUGCCAGCAGCCGCGGUAAUACGUAGGUCCCGAGCGUUGUCCGGAUUUAUUGGGCGUAAAGCGAGCGCAGGUGGUUUAUUAAGUCUGGUGUAAAAGGCAGUGGCUCAACCAUUGUAUGCAUUGGAAACUGGUAGACUUGAGUGCAGGAGAGGAGAGUGGAAUUCCAUGUGUAGCGGUGAAAUGCGUAGAUAUAUGGAGGAACACCGGUGGCGAAAGCGGCUCUCUGGCCUGUAACUGACACUGAGGCUCGAAAGCGUGGGGAGCAAACAGGAUUAGAUACCCUGGUAGUCCACGCCGUAAACGAUGAGUGCUAGAUGUAGGGAGCUAUAAGUUCUCUGUAUCGCAGCUAACGCAAUAAGCACUCCGCCUGGGGAGUACGACCGCAAGGUUGAAACUCAAAGGAAUUGACGGGGGCCCGCACAAGCGGUGGAGCAUGUGGUUUAAUUCGAGGCAACGCGAAGAACCUUACCAGGUCUUGACAUACUCGUGCUAUUCCUAGAGAUAGGAAGUUCCUUCGGGACACGGGAUACAGGUGGUGCAUGGUUGUCGUCAGCUCGUGUCGUGAGAUGUUGGGUUAAGUCCCGCAACGAGCGCAACCCCUAUUGUUAGUUGCCAUCAUUAAGUUGGGCACUCUAACGAGACUACCGGUGAUAAACCGGAGGAAGGUGGGGAUGACGUCAAAUCAUCAUGCCCCUUAUGACCUGGGCUACACACGUGCUACAAUGGAUGGUACAACGAGUCGCGAGACAGUGAUGUUUAGCUAAUCUCUUAAAACCAUUCUCAGUUCGGAUUGUAGGCUGCAACUCGCCUACAUGAAGUCGGAAUCGCUAGUAAUCGCGGAUCAGCACGCCGCGGUGAAUACGUUCCCGGGCCU